rnacentral:rRNA from 1 species
UUAACACAUGCAAGUCGAGCGGUAACAUUUCUAGCUUGCUAGAAGAUGACGAGCGGCGGACGGGUGAGUAACGCGUAGGAAUCUGCCUAGUAGUGGGGGACAACAUGUGGAAACGCAUGCUAAUACCGCAUACGCCCUACGGGGGAAAGGAGGGGAUCUUCGGACCUUUCGCUAUUAGAUGAGCCUGCGUGAGAUUAGCUAGUUGGUGGGGUAAAGGCUCACCAAGGCGACGAUCUCUAGCUGGUCUGAGAGGAUGAUCAGCCACACUGGGACUGAGACACGGCCCAGACUCCUACGGGAGGCAGCAGUGGGGAAUAUUGGACAAUGGGCGCAAGCCUGAUCCAGCCAUGCCGCGUGUGUGAAGAAGGCCUUAGGGUUGUAAAGCACUUUCAGGAGUGAGGAAGGGUGAUUGGUUAAUACCCAAUUAUUUUGACGUUAACUCCAGAAGAAGCACCGGCUAACUCUGUGCCAGCAGCCGCGGUAAUACAGAGGGUGCGAGCGUUAAUCGGAAUUACUGGGCGUAAAGCGCGCGUGGGCGGUUUGUUAAGUCGGAUGUGAAAUCCCAGGGCUCAACCUUGGAAUGGCACCCGAUACUGGCAGGCUAAAGUACGGUAGAGGGGUGUGGAAUUUCCUGUGUAGCGGUGAAAU